rnacentral:pre_miRNA from 1 species
AGGAGGAACAGCCCCAGUGGCGGGGCCAGCUCUGGAGCCCUGGAGUUAGCUCCCGCAGUCGCUCCGGAGCUCUCGGUCUGCAGGGCCUGGAGGCUCCGGGCGGGG